rnacentral:rRNA from 1 species
AGAGGUUUGAUCCUGGCUCAGGACGAACGCUGGCGGCAUGCCUAAUACAUGCAAGUCGAGCGAAUGACGAAGAAGCUUGCUUCUUCUGAUUUAGCGGCGGACGGGUGAGUAACACGUGGGCAACCUGCCCUGUAGAUUGGGAUAACUCCGGGAAACCGGGGCUAAUACCGAAUAAUCCAUUUCCUCACAUGGGGAGAUGUUAAAAGACGGUUUCGGCUGUCACUACAGGAUGGGCCCGCGGCGCAUUAGCUAGUUGGUGAGGUAACGGCUCACCAAGGCGACGAUGCGUAGCCGACCUGAGAGGGUGAUCGGCCACACUGGGACUGAGACACGGCCCAGACUCCUACGGGAGGCAGCAGUAGGGAAUCUUCCACAAUGGACGAAAGUCUGAUGGAGCAAUGCCGCGUGAGUGAAGAAGGUUUUCGGAUCGUAAAACUCUGUUGUGAGGGAAGAACAAGUACGAGAGUAACUGCUCGUACCUUGACGGUACCUCAUUAGAAAGCCACGGCUAACUACGUGCCAGCAGCCGCGGUAAUACGUAGGUGGCAAGCGUUGUCCGGAAUUAUUGGGCGUAAAGCGCGCGCAGGCGGUCCUUUAAGUCUGAUGUGAAAUCCCACGGCUCAACCGUGGAAGGUCAUUGGAAACUGGGGGACUUGAGUACAGAAGAGGAAAGCGGAAUUCCAAGUGUAGCGGUGAAAUGCGUAGAGAUUUGGAGGAACACCAGUGGCGAAGCGGCUUUCUGGUCUGUAACUGA